GUUUGAUUGUUCCAGAGUAAUUUGUAAGGUUAGAUUCUGACAUUUUAUUCAUGGUGAUUAUUGUCCUGCUCCUCAGAUUAUCCAGCUGAAGGUCAGUUUGCAGAAUCUACAGAACAUCAGAAUCUCAGGAGUUUCAGGAAAUCAGGAACAUGCUCAGGAGCAGGGAGAGUGACUGCACCAAAGUUGUCUUCCUAAGGCUUUGUCAAAGACUUGACAUUGUUUAUCCUGAAGUCCCAUUUCUGAUUGACUGAUGGCUAUGGCUAUAAGGAGACGCAAAUUGGAUUAAAUCAAUUCUUCACCGUGGGAAAUAAUGCCCAUUGUCUUAGAUUCUUACCUUUUACGCUAAUUUCUGAGAGAAAUGAAAUAAAAGGCUUAAAAUUCUGUAUGCUA
rnacentral:lncRNA from 12 species